rnacentral:lncRNA from 1 species
AUGCUCAAAAUCAAUAAGUCGUGGGACAAGUUAACAAUGAGUGAGAAUGUGGAUAAAAAUCGCGAAAUCUCAUAUCAUCCACCACGUCGCCAAACUUUGAUUGCCAAUAUGGAUACAUCUUUGACCAGGUAUACUGAAAGCUCAAGCGACCCUUCAAAUAUGGCAGGCGCGACAGUAAAUACAGAGAGUCCUCUAAAUGAUCAGCAUUCUAGAGAUAUGUCAUGGAGAAUAGGGAUCGAUACUAGCAUUAUAAAUGGACCCGAUGAAGAUAAUUCACCCCUAUGUGAGCCGUCAUUACAUGCGCUUGAGUCAUCACAGAGCAACGAUUGCGGAAAUGCUGAUCAUCCAAAUAGUAAUCGGAGAUAUGAUUCAACCCCGGUGGACCCAACGGAGGGCUUUUUGAACCCAUCGAGCUCCUCAACAGCGGUUGACGCCCCGACUCCUCUCUCGAACAAUAAUACAGAGAACGCGCUACCUCAGUAUGGAUCGGCGCGAAUGUUAACAGAGGAUAAAUCCAGGAGGAGUUGCACCGACGUCACUGUUCGGCAAAGAAACGAAUCGUUGAGUAUUGAUACGUUGCCUCCAACGGCCUCAUUUCAAAGACUCCGCAAGGAUAAAACCAUGCCGAGGUGCUCGAAGGAAAAGUGUCAACAACCUAACCAGUCCCGGAUCAGAAAAGGUAUCACUGCAGGUGCCGAGGAUAUUAUUCAGAGUAAUGUGCUCAAUCCAGGCUGCGUAACUGUAUUUGAGGUUUUGGAUAGUCACUCGAUCCGAAAUUGCCAGCAUCAAAAUGAUCAAUACGGGUCUUCAACGGCUCGUAACUCAGAGCUCACCGUUUAUGCGACUCCCAGGAAAGAGCCGAUUUUUGAAGUCAUAGGGACUACCGCGCCGGUACCUCUGUCGAGAUUUCCAAGAAUUGAGACGACAAGAAACAGCUCGGACAGAGACAUUCUGAGUCAAGCAGACGUAUCAAAGGGCUUUGCGACAUUUGUUGAAAAAAAGUGCAGCUCGAAUCCCAUUGCACAUUUUUCACCGUGCAAAUCAGGGAUUAUUGAGGUCGUAGAGUAUGAAAAUGGGCCGUGUUUGAAUUGCUCUUCCUGCAGGUUAGCAACGGUUCACUCGGACGUAAAUACUCAAUAUUCAAAGGAGUCCUUAUGCGGGAUAGUAUCACCGGCAUCAAUGAAGGAUAGUUCAAAUAGUAAAAUUACGCAUCCAAAUAGACUUUGUGCGAUAGAAUCAGCGAACAAUCAUUAUCCGAAUGUUCAGCAUAUUAAUAAUCAUUUUGAUACGCCAGCAGUCACUUCAGUAUCUAACACCGGAGGUGCUUUUUACGUGAGCCCCAAUUCAGGGCCAAGAUAUGAAGUCAAAAUUGGAGCACUCACACCAUCUCAUUUUCCAGUUUACCUCGCAGACUCCAUAGGUUCAGGAGCCUCCGCUAAGACAUCACACUCCGGAUUGUCCAAACCCUGCACGGCGUAUAGUUUAGAGUUCUCCCAACCGGUCGAACUUCCCGUCUCCGGAACAGACAAUGGCACGGAGUAUGGCUUGAAAUGCACGAAACGAGAGCGAAAAAAUUGGUGUCUCGUGGAAAAAAUCCGGAAUUCUCAUGAAAGCGAACUAUUAAAGGACCUAAAUGAUGAUCCUCAUUUUUUGCUACUGGCGUACCAGCUCGUGGGGUCAAAGGUGACAAAAAAUCCUUUCUCUAAACUCACAGCAGACGAUAAGAUACGGCUGGUGGAAGAGUUAAAAAAGAAAUACCUCAUGGCGAAUGUGCCUUCAUCGAGCGAUUGCAUAGUUUAGAAGAAGAGUUGGACGAAACUGGAUUUCUUGAUUAUUGAUUGACACUGUCCAAUUUCACCACCGUCGUCACAUCUGUUCUUUCUGUAAUGGUACGUGAGUAUCAUCUUUUGUUUUUAAAUGUACUAAUUUUUUUACGUAGGUACUACGGACUUACGUCUAUCAGCUUUGUUUUUUUUAAACAAAUGUUGCUCGCAAUGAAGAAUGAAAGUAUCGAUCUUCGAUUCAUCUGUUAUAUCAAUGAAGCUUCGAUCGAUCAUUUCAUGAAUCGAACUUCACUCUCCGUUCUUAGAUCAGAGAAGGUAGAGGCCAGUGGCGUGGCGUGAAUGAUCAAUUAUCGAUAUUCCUCCAUUUGAAGCUAUGGUAAAGAAUCGAUUAUUAAGGUGUUCGCUGCAAACCCCCUGUUUAUCGAUCCUUUUCCAUAGGUUUAAAUGGCUUAACAAUCGAUAUAUCGCAAUGCACGCCACGCCACUGGUAGAGGCGCAACCCGCGUUUUAGGACGGCAACGUUGUUGUGUAUUUAAGCAAUGAGAACAUUAUUUGGAAAAUUGACAAUGUCACGGUAAAACAGUAAUAGUUUAAAUCAUCGGCACAGUAGGCAACGCUGGAAUUAAGUUCCGAGGCACGGAAAACAAGAUGAGCGCCCUUCGUUAGUCUCAAAUACGACGAACACUCAUUUGAACUCGUAGAUGCAACUAUUCGGGCUCCAUGGAUGUCUAUGUUGCUUACGCACGGAAGUGAAGGCGUUUUGACUGUCCAUACACUCGCCACUUCACCCAACGGCUGGCUUUACUGCGAGAAUCCUAAACUGCAGAGCGCUCUCAAUUUUUCAUGUAUACUACAGCAGAAUACUGUCAUGCUAAGAAAAAACGCCGUAUAAACAUUCAAAUGAUGCCAAAUUUCCUCUCAUAAUAUAUUUAUUUUUGAAGAAAGUGGUGAAUAUUUUUCCUUGAAAUUCUACCCAAAAAUAUAAAAAUAACCCUCCAGACUCCCAUAUCUACGCGAGACUGUAGUACACAAAUGAUGUUAAAAUUGGGGAAUGAGAAUGAAAAUAUUCGGAAGUAAAUAAC